rnacentral:tRNA from 2 species
GCCCAAGUGGCGGAAUUGGUAGACGCGCACGUUUGAGGGGCGUGUGGGGCAACCCGUGCCGGUUCGAGUCCGGCCUUGGGCACCA